rnacentral:tRNA from 1 species
GCGGGAGUGGCGGAACUGGUAGACGCGCAGGACUUAGGAUCCUGUGCCUUCGGCGUAGGGGUUCAAGUCCCCUCUCCCGCACCA